rnacentral:rRNA from 1 species
UACACUCCUGCGGGAGGCAGCAGUGGGGAAUUUUGGACAAUGGGCGAAAGCCUGAUCCAGCAAUGCCGCGUGCAGGAUGAAGGCCUUCGGGUUGUAAACUGCUUUUGUACGGAACGAAAAAGCUCCUUCUAAUACAGGGGGCCCAUGACGGUACCGUAAGAAUAAGCACCGGCUAACUACGUGCCAGCAGCCGCGGUAAUACGUAGGGUGCGAGCGUUAAUCGGAAUUACUGGGCGUAAAGCGUGCGCAGGCGGUUAUGUAAGACAGAUGUGAAAUCCCCGGGCUCAACCUGGGAACUGCAUUUGUGACUGCAUGGCUAGAGUACGGUAGAGGGGGAUGGAAUUCCGCGUGUAGCAGUGAAAUGCGUAGAUAUGCGGAGGAACACCGAUGGCGAAGGCAAUCCCCUGGACCUGUACUGACGCUCAUGCACGAAAGCGUGGGGAGCAAACAGGAUUAGAAACCCCGGUAGUCCCAUGAU